rnacentral:rRNA from 1 species
UCGCACCUACCGAUUGAGUGGUCCGGUGAAUUCUCGGGAUUGUGACUGUUCUGCUUUAUUGUGGUCGGUUGCGAGAACUUGUCUAAACCUUAUCAUUUAGAGGAAGGUG